rnacentral:rRNA from 1 species
UACGUAGGAGGCGAGCGUUGUCCGGAAUCACUGGGCGUAAAGCGCGUGUAGGCGGUAGGAGAAGUCUGUCGUGAAAGCGCCUGGCUCAACCAGGCGAGGUCGGCGGAAACUCUCCAACUAGAGGACGGUAGAGGGGGGUGGAAUUCCCGGUGUAGUGGUGAAAUGCGUAGAGCUCGGGAGGAACACCAGUGGCGCAGGCGGCCCCCUGGGCCGCACCUGACGCUGAGACGCGAAGGCGUGGGGAGCGAACGGG